AUGUGGUCAUGGCGGCUUCGAGAUUCUUCUUUUCUGAACAGGUAUGCAAAUCAGACUGGUUUAGUUAUAAGUGGCUUAUUGCAUUCGUCUAUAUCAACUGAUAUGUGUAGGGCAUUUUUGGAUGAACCUGUUGGUUUAGUACACCGAACAACACUCUUUAUGAACAUAACUACUACAUGUU